rnacentral:misc_RNA from 1 species
AGAAAAUGCAGAGUCAGUCAAGCGCAGCAUGAACAGCAAAAAAUAAUGCGCUUUUGAAGCUCAAAAUUGUUGCUUGAUCCACACACACACAUAUAUUAUAUUCGCAAGUUCUUCUCAUCCUCAAUUUGUUUCGUACUAAUUACGUACUUGGCUUAUAUAUGGUAUACAUAAGUUUUUGUAAGAUGAUGACAUAAGAUGCAAGGGAAAUUCUUCUCAGCAUUCAAGUUAUUAUAGACCAAAUAUAUAAAAUAUAUGGUAAAAUUUAU